rnacentral:lncRNA from 1 species
GUGAGUGAGUGUGAGAGAGAGAGAGCAAGCUCCCUCGAUAGGUCUACUAGCAACAGCCCUGCUGCAGCAAGGGGGGAGAGAGAGAGGCAGCAAGAGAGAGAGAGACAGAAGUAAUAACAUCAUGGACUGGGCUUCUGCAACCGGCCAGCUUAAUUGUUAAAAAAUUUAUUUUGGCUUAAUUGAUAUUGGAGGGUUCGCCCAUUGACGAUGCUGGAGACAUGAUGCGUUUAAUCCCGCGGGGAGGGAGGGUGGGCAGACGUCGGAAGGGUUAACGGGAAGAAAAUUCUGGAACAUUCUAUUCUGCGGCGCUGCACAGCGAGCGAACGAAGGGCUACGGAUUGCGCAGAUGUUUAACGGGCAGAGGUCUUCGGCUCGGGGUCCGUCUUUCCCACGUACGUAUCCUUUGAUUGGGAUUGGGUUAGAACUGCAUCUUAUUUUAUUUAUUUACAGGUUCUUCUCUCCCCCCCCACUCCUCUAAGUUCAAACCCCGGAGUGGCUUUAUGAUUUUGGCUGGAUGUUACUGCACUGUUCUGCGUCAGAGCCGUUUUCUGAAUGGAACGAUGGCACAAGUGGGUCAGUUAUGCAAAGUAACAAAAAGCAAGGGAAGAAUGUGACAAACUCUUCGAAGUGGUUUGUUGUGUUAUUUAUGCAAAUAACACAGCCAGAACCAAGUAUUUCAUAGCUUGAAUUACUUCAGUGACAGGUGAGUUUCCUGUUGUUGCAAAAUAAGCCACAGUGACAUGUAAGUCAGGCCAGAGGAAAGUGAUAGACUUUUAUGCAUCUUUCUCUUCCUUCUAAGGAUAUUAAGUUCUUAUUAUUGACCAACAGCACAAGUCUAGGAGGGACCUGGAAAAGAGGGUAAGGAGGCCAAGACAAACAGGAAGACAUUUUUUUCAUAACUAUUUUUUGCUAUCUUCGCACCCUCCCCUGCCUCCUCGAAGUGAUGAUAAUGAAGAUUUCAGUUCUGCUCUGACGUUCUGUGAACAAACCAUUUGAGCUUGGGUCAUCUUGCUCAGAAAGCCAUCCGGAUUCUGAAGAGGAGUAGUAACUUGCUUGAUCAUUCAGCAGGGAGAGUUAUUCCUUAUCUCUUUUUCAUGUGAAGUGACUUCAAGAAUAUGGGGGUAUAAGCAUUUAAUGUAUAACUUACCGACAUCUAAAGGGCCAAGUAUAGAUCAGAUGUAUUGUAUUCUCUUUCUUGAUUUAUUUUAUAAUAGUUUGUCUCCUAAGGUGCAUCCUGAUUUUUAUAUAAUGUAGAUACAUGCGCACACACCAUUCCAACGCUGAUUUCAUCAGGUCUUAAAGAGCACCUGCCUUGCUCUCUUGCUUCCAGCUCAGUGUCUUAGGGCAAUAAAAAGGAGGGAGUAGACCA